GCCUUAGGGUAUAGGGAUUUCAUCCAUGAACUUUUAGAAAGCGUCGGGCAUUGAAUGGCUUCAGAGUACCCUACCCCUUCCAUUUACCGGGCGAUUGGUUUCCCUGUCUGUUUCACUUGAAGUCUACUAUUUUAAGCCCACACUUUUGAGAAGAAGGAAUCCCAAACACGCCCUUCGUCUCGCAGGUCAGUUUUCUGUAACCCUAAUUUUUCUAUUAAUGGUGAACGGCAUACUGCAAUGGAUUCGAAGGGUAUUCAGAUUGAAGCCAUCUCAGAUUAAACUCGCAAUAACGAGGACAGUGAUUUGUUUUCAUUUUAGGUAUGUUUUUGCAGUUUGAUGCUCUAAUUGGUAUUAUGUUAUUUCAAUUAUUCGCCCCAAUCCUCAAAAUUUCCUUUUGAAUUCGCUUGCUUUCCUCUGUUUCGGUUGAUUAAUUGAACACCCGUUUCGAUUUCACAGUGUUUGUUUCGAAUUUUGAGUUUUGCCUAUUAGGGUUUUAGCAUGAUAAUCAAGAGGAAGUUGAAAUUGGCAAUGCUAAUUUAAUCAAGUGCAGUUUUCCCGAUUGUGGUUCAAAGCAAGCUUCAUUGCGGAAGAUAAUCAACCGAUGCCGACCGUAAUCGUCGAAGAACUUCAACUAAUUUAGCAUAAAUUUUCCUUUUCCAUUACCUGUUUGACAUCAACUGUCUUCGACUGCUGAAUUUAUACGCAAAGCAAAACUGUCACAAACCAUGGUGGAAGGAAUCAAUGGAUAAGGUACUUCCCACAAGGACACAGUGAACAGUAAAAAAAAACAAGAAGGCGUACCCGUUCUUCUCAUACAGGUCAUUCACGUGAUACCGCAAAAUGGGUGGAUCCAGACAAGGCAAGCUCAUCGAGAUAGUCCUACACCAAUACUUCUAUCAGUAUUUCUCGACAUAAUUCAACCAAGAUACGAUCAAAAUCGGCUGCAAUGGAUAGGGCCAGAAGUAGUUAGUGAAGAUUGCGAGCUCUUAUUCGCUUCUUAACGGAACUCACUAUUAUAUGUGCUGGAUAUAAGCAACUCAGUCUUCUGGCAUCAAUCAACAGAAGCAGUCACUUUAGUUGGGGCCUGAUGAUCAUCUCUAUCUGGAAGGAUUUGCAUCAAAUGUCUUUGCAAAGGCCGAUAAGCAAGACCGGCUGGAAGAGCUGACAUGUAUGAUAUGCUCUACUUCUUAUGAUAUAGUUAUUGUAACAUUGGCUUACUAAAGAUUUAGCACACUAAGAAUGAUUUAAUGUGCUUAAAAAGGCUUCCAAAUUCAUAUGCCAUGGGCUCGUACAUAUAAGAAACUCUCUCUUUUUUAGCAAUUCCUCAUGAAAAACAACCGCCGCCUCUGGUUGAAGUUUAACAUUGGAGUUCAUAAUGUUUUUUGCUAUUCAAGGGUUUAUUGAUCAAUAGCUUUUCGGAUGUAUUUUUGCUAAGAUGUUAUGGACAUAGUAGGCUAUUACCAAUGUUGUAUAUGGUAUUGCACUUAUGAUU
rnacentral:lncRNA from 1 species